AACGAACGCUGGCGGCAUGCCUAACACAUGCAAGUCGAACGAGACCUUCGGGUCUAGUGGCGCACGGGUGCGUAACGCGUGGGAACCUGCCCUUAGGUUCGGAAUAACUCCCCGAAAGGGGUGCUAAUACCGGAUAAUGUCUUCGGACCAAAGAUUUAUCGCCUUUGGAUGGGCCCGCGUUGGCUUAGCUAGUUGGUAGGGUAAAAGCCUACCAAGGCGACGUUCCAUAGCUGGUCUGAGAGGAGGCUCAGCCACACUGGGACUGAGACACGGCCCAGACUCCUACGGGAGGCAGCAGUGGGGAAUAUUGGACACUGGGCGAAAGCCUGAUCCAGCAAUGCCGCGUGAGUGAUGCAGGCCUUAGGGUUGUACAGCUCUUUUACCCGGGAUGAUAAUGACAGUACCGGGAGAAUAAGCUCCGGCUAACUCCGUG
rnacentral:rRNA from 1 species